GACGAACGCUGGCGGCGUGCUUAACACAUGCAAGUCGAACGGAAAGGCCCUGCUUUUGUGGGGUGCUCGAGUGGCGAACGGGUGAGUAACCCGUGAGUAACCUGCCCUUGACUGUGGGAUAACUUCUGGAAGCUGGGGCUAAUACCGGAUAGGAGCACCUGUUGCAUGGUGGGGGUUGGAAAGGUUCGGCGGUUGGGGUUGGAAUCGCGGCUUAUCAGCUUGUUGGUGGGGAAGUGGCUUACCAAGGCUUUGACGGGUAGCCGGCCUGAGAGGGUGACCGGCCACAUUGGGACUGAGAUACGGCCCAGACUCGUACGGGAGGCAGCAGUGGGGAAUAUUGCACAAUGGGCGGAAGCCUGAUGCAGCAACGCCGCGUGCGGGAUGACGGCCUUCGGGUUGUAAACCGCUUUCGCCUGUGACGAAGCGUGAGUGACGGUAAUGGGUAAAGAAGCACCGGCUAACUACGUG
rnacentral:rRNA from 1 species